GCGAAGUGGUACCACUCCUUCCCAUCCCGAACAGGACAGUGAAACGCUUCUGCGCCGAUGAUAGUGCGGAUUCCCGUGUGAAAGUAGGUCAUCGUCAGGC
rnacentral:rRNA from 1 species